GCCCCGUUUUGUACCGUUUUUUCUGUCGUUGCGAGUGGGCGUUGUAGCGCAAGCUCUGGUCCCCCAAAAUAAAUGUGUGUGACGUCUUCGUCGUCGUUGUCGUCGUCGGUGUUGUCGUCGUCCUGCGUCGCCACGAGUCUGCGUCAGAGUACGAGUCUGGCAGCGGCUUUGGAGUCCGCAAACUCCUUACCUUACAGUUCAAACGGUACUUCAAAAGCAGCAGCAGCAACAGUUGCAACGGCAGCCAAGGCAGCGGCAGCAGCUAAAGAAUCAAAAAUCAGAAAGCAGCGACCAAACAUCAGCAACAAAUGAAAAUGUAAAGUGAAAAAGUGUGAAAAGCGCAAGGAAAAACUACAA